UACGAAGGGGGCUAGCGUUGCUCGGAAUCACUGGGCGUAAAGGGCGCGUAGGCGGCCGAUUAAGUCGGGGGGUGAAAGCCUGUGGCUCAACCACAGAAUUGCCUUCGAUACUGGUUGGCUUGAGACCGGAAGAGGACAGCGGAACUGCGAGUGUAGAGGUGAAAUUCGUAGAUAUUCGCAAGAACACCAGUGGCGAAGGCGGCUGUCUGGUCCGGUUCUGACGCUGAGGCGCGAAAGCGUGGGGAGCAAACAGG
rnacentral:rRNA from 1 species